ACGGAAGGCAGCAGUGGGGAAUAUUGCACAAUGGGGGAAACCCUGAUGCAGCGACGCCGCGUGAGUGAAGAAGUAUUUCGGUAUGUAAAGCUCUAUCAGCAGGGAAGAAAAUGACGGUACCUGACUAAGAAGCCCCGGCUAACUACGUGCCAGCAGCCGCGGUAAUACGUAGGGGGCAAGCGUUAUCCGGAUUUACUGGGUGUAAAGGGAGCGUAGACGGUUCUGCAAGUCUGAUGUGAAAGGCAGGGGCUCAACUCCUGGACUGCAUUGGAAACUGUAGAACUAGAGUGCCGGAGAGGUAAGCGGAAUUCCUAGUGUAGCGGUGAAAUGCGUAGAUAUUAGGAGGAACACCAGUGGCGAAGGCGGCUUACUGGACUGUAACUGACGUUGAGGCUCGAAAGCGUGGGGAGCAAACAGGAUUAGAUACCCUGGUA
rnacentral:rRNA from 2 species